CUGCUGCUUGUCCCUGGAAGCCUGACACACACUCACACCAAACACAUUAACUCUGCUAAUGAAGUAGUGAGCAGCAGCAGCACCUCCUGACCGCCAUUCCGCACCAAAAACUUUCCAUUUUCCUCUUCCCACUCUCUGGGACUUCCUUUUGAUUUUGCUGGGUGGAGGAGGAGGAGGAGUGUGUGUGUGUGUGUGGUGGGAUUUACAGUCUCCUUUAACGCUUGCUGGGACCUAGGAAAAGAAGAGUUACACCAUGUACUGCAAGUGAAAAAGUCUCCCUGUGUGUGUUUCUUGCAGAAGUUGAGGCUUUUCUCUGCUGUUUCCAGAAGUGAAAGCUGUGCCUUUAAUACACGUUGAGUGAGGUAUCCAAGGAUAGGAAACUGGCCUGAAGGGAAAAUCUGGGGGAGACUGGGUAUUUGGCUACAUUUGCCCCUGAGCUCGGAAGAGAACAGCGGCUUAUCAAGCACUUCAAUCUGGUUUGCUGAGUGUAACAGCUUAAGAGAAAAUGGCUGCCUUGUUUUCCAGAGCUGUCCCACAGAUGACCAUGCAAGAGAAAAUGAGGAUCUGAGCAUGAGAAAUCUCAGAGUAGUUUCCCGGGCCAUUUAGCAUUUUUAAAUACUCUAUGAAGGAUUCUUUUUCUUCCAGGUAGCUGCAUGACUUAGUCCUCUAAGAUUUACCACUCAGCACGUUGAUUCCAGCUGAGCUUUUUGAAGGCUGGCUUAUUCUGAAUAUAGGUGGAAGGGGAGUAAUUCCUGAGAUGUUAUAAAUAAUUGUUGAAAACCUCUCUUUCAUAAAUAGAUUGAGACUCUGAAUUCUGAAUUUUAAUCCAAAAUGCAAGUUGCAUAACAAAUGAUUUAAACUAUUACAGUAAUUAAAUAUUUUUAAAAUGUGCCUUAUUUCUAAGAAAUACCUUUAAUCCGUGUUUAACAAACAUGCACAAUGUGGCAUCACAUUGUAAGCAGAUGUGGUGUGACAAAAUAUAGAAUUGCAUUCUAGACAGGAGCAUGUCCAGGCCAAGAAGUUUUCAAUAUUAAUGCAUAAGUGACCUAUAAAGGGCAGCAUUCUCAAUUCCCGCUGAAUAAGCAGCUGAGAAACUCUAAACUGUUCUCAGUAUGUUCUCUCAUACAGUAACAGGAAUACAGAAAGAAUAUGGUCAGGUUGCACUGUUGUUUUGCAGAGAUACCUUAUGUCAGAGAAUCUCAGAAUACUUUAAUGAAGCAAAACAUCUCCAGGAAGGACAUCCUUGAUCCAAUUUUAUUGAUGAGGAAAUUGACACACAGAGUGGGAAUGUGAUUUAGACGAUGUCACAGAAGAAAUUUUAAAUCAAAGCCAGCAACUGUUCCUAGAACUCCUGGGUCCUAAUCCUUUACUUUGACCACAAUACCAACAGUGCUCUCCCAUUUUUAAAGUUUUAAGAUGACAAAAAAAGGGUAGAUUUUGUCUUGAAAUUUCUGGACUUCUCCAUAGUAUUUUCAAAGCCUUUGAUUUGGAGUUGUUACUGGCAGUGUCAGUAUUGCAACAUUGAUGUAUGCUGGAUUCUAAACUAGCUUAUUUCCAUAUUGGUGUAAGGGUGUACUUCUUCCUUCAUGUCAGCUUUUCCUCCUCCUCACUACCCUUGAAGUUAGUUGUUUAGUUGUCUUUUUUGGGAGCCUUGUCAUUAUCUUCAGUCAUCAUCACAGUGUGUGUAAUAGGGAUGUUAAGUAGCGAUUAAUUUACUACUCGAGUAGUCGUUAAGCACUUGUGCCUUCUGCCUUUGAAAUGUACAAGAGCCCCAAUGGGAAGCUGGCAUGCUGCAUGGAGCCCAGGGUCAGCUGCCCCC